rnacentral:rRNA from 1 species
UACGUAGGGUGCAAGCGUUAAUCGGAAUUACUGGGCGUAAAGCGUGCGCAGGCGGUUAUAUAAGACAGUUGUGAAAUCCCCGGGCUCAACCCUGGGAACUGCAUCUGUGACUGUAUAGCUAGAGUACGGUAGAGGGGGAUGGAAUUCCGCGUGUAGCAGUGAAAUGCGUAGAUAUGCGGAGGAACACCGAUGGCGAAGGCAAUCCCCUGGACCUGUACUGACGCUCAUGCACGAAAGCGUGGGG